CGCCCGUCGCUCCUACCGAUUGGAUAUGCUGGUGAAGCGCUAGGAUCGGUGGCAGUCGGUGGCUCGUUCACCCGCUGCCGCUGAGAAUUCCGUUGAACCCUCCUAUCUAGAGGAAGGAGAAGUCGUAACAAGGUUUCC
rnacentral:rRNA from 1 species